UUUCCGUAGGUGAACCUGCGGAAGGAUCAUUGCACACACAAGUUGCAGCCAACAAGCCCUUUGGGCGCGAAUCUUACCAUUGUCCCCCUUCACUUGUUCUGGGGGGCUGGGGCGCUUUCAACCGCUCGCCAACUAGCUUGAUCUCUAGCUGGCUGAGUAUGGGGGGAGUGUCUCGGCCUUCUCUCGACUGCUCGCACACUAACUGAUCACUAGGUUGGGCGAGUACGUUGGGGGGAUUCCCUUGGCCCUCCGGAACAAGUUGUUCCAACCGAUUGCGCAAUGCAUCAACACCUCCAAAUAUGACUGAGUAUAAAAACCUUAGGGCUCCCUCCUUAGGGUGGGGGGUCCUCGAGUUGUAAUAUAAACAAAAACAACUCUCAGCAACGGAUAUCUUGGCUCUU
rnacentral:misc_RNA from 1 species